CUCCCCAAAAGCAUAUGAAUUCCUAAGAACAGUAUUGCCCCUUCCUGCAGGGCGUUCGUUAAGGAGAUGGUUAGAAAACAUAGAGGCAGAACCAGGUAUAUCAACCUGUAUGAUCAACACACUAAUUACCAAAAAAGAUGAAAACCCUGAUGAAUACACACAUUGCAGCUUAAUGCUAGAUGCAAUGGCUAUUCGAAAACAGGUCACUUAUGACAGUCACGCUGGUAAGCUAGUUGGGUUUGUUGACUUGGGGACUGGGAUUGAUGAAACAGAUGAAGCCAAAGAGGCUCUAGUUUUUAUGUUAGUUGGAAUCAAAUCCAAAUGGAAAGCUCCUGUGGCAUAUUAUUUAAGUAAAGGAUUACAGGCAGAAGUGCAAGCUGGGCUUCUUGUGGGAUGUAUCGAGAAGCUGUCGGAGUGUGGUUUUGUCAUCCACUCAGUCACAAUGGAUGGACAUGCAUCCAACAUCAGUAUGUGUCAUUUGUUGGGAUGUAAUUUUGAAUACCAUCAGCACGAUCCCAAACCACUUUUUCAAUUGCCGGGAAUUAAACACAGAAUAUGGGUUGUAAUGGAUGCCUGUCAUAUGGUUAAAUUAAUCCGAAAUGCACUAGAGGCCUAUGGAACACUCAUGUCUGCUAAGGGUGCCAUAAAAUGGGACCACAUUAGGCAACUCAAUGAAGUUCAAGAAGAGAUAUGACUCCGCUUAGGCAACAGGCUUUCAGCUAAUCAUUUAGCCUUUAAACAACAAAUAAUGAAAGUAUCACUUGCAGUGCAGACAUUGUCUAGUUCUGUUGCCCGAGCAUUAGAAACGGCUGAAGAACUUGGGGUGCAGGGUUUUCAUCUAUGUGAACCAACUAUAGAAUUUAUUGAGGAAAACAGGAUUUAUGGGAAUGGUCAUAAAUAUAGACAGCAUCCUUGGUUUGUCUUCAGAUCUCUUUUAUACUGAUGUGCACCCACUCAAAUAUCUACUGACAUAUAAAUUUAGCCAAGAUCACUUGGAACUAUUUUUCAAUGCUGUACGUAGAAUUGGUGGCUGGAAUAAUAACCCCACUGUUAUUCAGUUUAAGGCUGCAUUUAGACGCCUUAUAUGACGCGCUGGAACAAGUACAAGUGGAUCCAGUGGCAAUGUAGUAGGAAUGGACGACACAACAAUCAUUCAAGCUUCCACUUCUACAUAUGUCCCAUCCACGGUUUCCAGGAAUGAUGAUGAUUAUCAUAUGCCUUUAGAUGUUGAAAAUGUUGAUAAUUAUAAUAAUCUAAAUGUAAAACAGAGUUUAUUAGUUGAUAAUGUUCUUGUAUAUAUUUCUGGAUAUGUUGUUAGGAAGGCACUACCACAAUUAAAGUGUGAUAUUUGCCGAUCUGUUAUUGUAAACCCAGUGACUAGAUAUAAUAAUACCCAUUUUCUUAUUACCAUUAAAGAUAAUGGCGGUUUACUUAAACCAUCAGAUGGAUUAGUUAAAAUUAUUACUGUAGCUGAGAAAUUGUUAAGAUGUAUGUCGUCAAUAAAUACACCAGCUCAUAGUUGUACAAUGUUAAAAUUGUAGGCUGCCGUGUUAGAAGAAGUUG